AAAUCAUCCUAAAAUUUCAAGGCCUAUCCUCUGAGUUCAAUAUCUGGUCCAUUUGUGGUAGACUACCCACCAGCACCAUAUAGGGGAAAGUGACACUAGACUUCUUUGGGACUAUUAAAACUGAAGUUACCUUCUCAUUUUCUCAUAGGAGGGAGGAGAAAAAUUCCCACCCUAUCCUCACAGCUGCCUAAGUGAAUAACCACUCAAUCAAAAAUGGAAUCUGGAGUAAAGAAGUUGUGAAACAAGGCAAACAGAAACGCUUUGCACCAAUCCCAUGACCCAAAAACAUGCCGAUACAAAUGGUUCAAUACAGCAAGAUCCAUAAUAACAAGGGUACUGAGUUCUAUAGGAGACUGAAGAUGAAGUAGUUCACUGAACUUGAAGUUCCAUCAAGUUGGUUGAAGAUGUGGAGUGAAAGAUUAUUAAAAUAUUCAUAAUCAAAGCUUGGAGAGAUAAUGGAAAUAUUUGAGGACAAAAUUAAGAUUUCAAGAUGAAUGAUGGCUAGAAAUAAUCAAAUGGACCUAGUGUGACUGCACCUCCUCCCUUUUUUGCAGAUCAGCAUGGGCCUGUGACCUUCUGUGACUGAUAAAAUAGUCCAGCUUCCAAAAGGAGAGAAAGAAGACAAAAAGGAGUGAGAAAAAUGUCAAAGAAAUAAGAGAUGAGGGAAAUUCUAACUCAAAGAAAGGGAUUCUGUGAAAGGUGAUCAAACACGGGAGAAUGGCAGAGGAAAUCCCCAGGAAUGAUAACAAAGGGAAAUCUUAAGUUUUGAAGCAACAGUGUUCCAAAAGGGCUAUAUCUUAUUUUUCUUAUUAUAGAAAGUCAAUAUAUAAUAUCCAAAAUUUAAAAAUUGAGAUUUAAUAAUAUAAACUUGUUAUUUGGGAAUAUAAGGUAAAUAUCAGGGGAAACAUUGAAGAGAACCAAAAUGAGUUUCCUCUGGGGAAUGACAAGCAAGAGUGAAAAGGGGUGAGAAUGGGUGGCAUAGGAUAAUGCUGUUUUCUAUUAUGAGCCUUGGUGAAUUAUUAGAUCCAUUAAACUCUGUAAAUGUCUUUAUUAUUUGCUGUAUUUGCUGUAUUUAUAGUGAUAAAUGAUAUAAAUAACUUUUUAAAAAAAACUGAAUAUUUGUAACCACGAUUUGCAUUUUCAACUGCAUGUGAACCAGAAUGGUAAGGAAAUUCUAUUAUUUGUGCUAGUUGACUUACUGGAAGGUGGUUUAAAGAAAUGGCAUUCUUAAAUUGAGAGACAAAGGUCAAAGACAAGCAGUGCCUUCGCUGUUAAAACGUAUAUCAUGAAGCACAAAUCCUUAACGGCAUACAGUGGCAGUCCAUGGGGAGUGAGGAGCAGUGCCUUUGGUUUGUAUCUGUGACUUAUUGCUAUGACAUGACACUAUUACAUUUUGGUUUUUAGCAUUUUUAAAGAGGAAGUAAUAGUUAUGAGAGAUGAAGAACUCAGAAUUAAGUACUGUAGUUAUACACAGAAGGGUAAUUUGGUUUUGAUGUAUUGGCCUGGGCCUGUUAACUAAUAAUACCAAAUUUUAAGUAGCAUCUCACCGGUAUGAAAAAAAGGUUGCAUCAUUAUUAAUGUCUAAACUAUAGUGUGUUUCACACAGGAUUAUGGUAAAGGUCAGGCCAUGUUUCUCUGAAUUAAAAGCUAUUCUGAGCUAUCGCAUUCCUAAUCAACUCAGACCUAAAGGUGCAUAGCUCAGUUAUAAUGAGGCACAAUAAAUUUAAAUAAACUGCAAGAUACUGUAUAGUGAUUUAUAUGUGCACCGUGGUAUCCUUUUAACUCAUUAGCAAUGAAUGAUACUAUGUGUUUGCGACUGUUUUUUUGCUGUAUAACUAUUUUUUAAUCACAAUAUUUCUUAGGAAAAGUGCCUUAUGCUCCCAUUUUCUUUCUGUAUGUGUAAAGUAAAAGGCAAAGGGUGCUCCUGGCAUGUACUCAAACAUGAGUCACAGCAGGAAGAAACUGUCAAAUAUCCAUCCAAAUAAAUUUCACAAAUUAACAAUUUGUAACUGGGCUCACAUGUUUAUGGUUUCACGGUAUAGAAUUGCCAUGGGACUUGGGAAAAGAAAUUGAAGGUUAUGCGCAGGUUUCUGAAUUAUACUUCAGAUUUAUCCUUGUGGAGGAAUUUUAAAAAAUCUAUUGAACACAUUUGGGCAUGUAUUAAGAAACAAAAAGAAAACACUAAAAUUUAGCUAGAAAAUAUUCUGAUUAACAAAGGAAAGGAGUUUUAUUUACCAUCUUUCAUUCUCUUAUGUUCACCCAAUAAUUUUUGUAAACAACAUAUCACUAUAGUUUGCUCAUAUGGCAAAUUUACACAAAGCACGGAGAUUUAAUUUCAUUUAGUAAAACUCUUUUAAAAAAUUUCUAGAUUGGGAACAUCUCAUGUAUGCAAGAUCAAACAUUAAUUUAGAAAGGGAGUAAUGUAAUAGAAUUGGUCAAAUUCAUUUUAUGGAUGACUCAAAUAACAUUCACUUUUUGUGGUGAUCAGAGGAGACUGGCUUAACAUCCUGAGACCUGUGCCUCCUGAUGCUUAAGAAAUGUAUCCAGGUGUUACAUUUGUUUUAAGUCCCACUCUUCAUACUUGAAAUGGUCUCACUAUUGCUGGAAUUGAGUUUCUUUUAAGCAGGGCUUUGUAUUGAAGCUGGAUUUCUUUCCUGGGGCCCAGAAAGAAAUUUCUUCCUCCAAAGCCCUGACCUGGGGAUUUUCUCUGCCAUUCUCUUUUGUUCAAUCCCCUUUCAUUGCUUUUGAGUUUUGUUAUCAAUUACAUAUGCUUCCCAUUUUUUUUUUUUUGGUUGAUGAGUUUUUACCUGAUAUAAACUUGGUCUUGGGCUUAUUAAUUCUAUAGUAAUGUGACUGAUGCUGCUAAAUAUUCCCCAAUAUUUACUUUUCUCUUCCUCCUUUUAGCAAUGGAAUGGAAGUUUUAUCUAGCUAAGUGACCAUUCAACUACUAACUAAUUUCUCAGCCUCCUUUGAUGUUAGGUUUUAUGGACUGAAUUGUGUCCCCACAAAAUUCACAUGUUGAAGUCCUGAUCCCCAUUCCCUUAGAAUGUGACUGUAUUUGGAGAUAGGGUCUUUAAAGAGGUAAUUAAGAUUAAAUGCGGUCAUUAGCAUGGGUCCUAAUCCAAUAUAACUGGUGUUCUUAUAAGGAUACUAGGACACAGACACACACAGAGGAAAGACCAUGUGAAGAUGAAGGAAGAAGACAGACAUCUAUAGGCCAAGGAGAGAGGCUUCAGAAAAAAUAAACCCUGCAAAUACUUUUAUAUCAAACGUCUAGCCUCUAGAUUUGUGAGAAAAUAAAUUUCUAUUAUUGAAGUCACCCAGUCUGUGGUACUUUGCUGUGGAACUCUACAAACUGGUAUACUAGGUGUGGCCAUGACAUUGAGUUUGCAUUGACGAGGUAUAAGCAGAAGUGAUGUGUAUAGAUUCUAGGUCAUUUUCUUAAAAGCUAAGUCAGAAUAUGCUAGGUUGUCUCUUUACUUUCUUACAGGCUGGAACACAGAUGUUGUGGGGGCUCAGCUUUGAGUUUUCAAAUAAGGACAACACGUGGGGCAACAGGAUGGAAGAAAUCUGGGUCCCUGAAUGACUUCAUGGAGAAGAGCCAUUCAGCUAGCAGGACUACUUAUAUCUGGAUUAUUAUGUAGGAGAUACACAAACUUUUAUCUUACUUAAGGUACUGAAUUUUUUUGUGGGGGUGAAGGAGGGUCUUUGUUACUAUAGCUUAACCUUUCCCCUAACAACAACAAAAAAACAUUUUAUAGAGUAUCAGACAAAGGACUCCUACUCUAUUUGCA
rnacentral:lncRNA from 10 species